rnacentral:rRNA from 1 species
AUUGAACGCUGGCGGAAUGCUUUACACAUGCAAGCCGAACGGCAGCACGGACUUCGGUCUGGUGGCGAGUGGCGAACGGGUGAGUAACAUAUCGGAACGUAUCCAAUAAUGGGGGAUAACGAGUCGAAAGAUUCGCUAAUACCGCAUACGCCCUACGGGGGAAAGCUGGGGACCUUCGGGCCUGGCGUUAAUGGAGCGGCCGAUAUCUGAUUAGCUAGUUGGUGAGGUAAAGGCUCACCAAGGCGACGAUCAGUAGCUGGUCUGAGAGGACGACCAGCCACACUGGAACUGAGACUCGGUCCAGACUCCUACGGGAGGCAGCAGUGGGGAAUUUUGGACAAUGGGCGCAAGCCUGAUCCAGCCAUUCCGCGUGAGUGAAGAAGGCCUUCGGGUUGUAGAGCUCUUUCGCAAGGGAAGAAAACUUAGCCACUAACAUUGGUUGAGGUUGACGGUACCUUGAUAAGAAGCACCGGCUAACUACGUGCCAGCCGCCGCGGUAA